rnacentral:rRNA from 1 species
CUUACCAGGUCCAGACACAGUUAGGAUUGACAGAUUGAGAGCUCUUUCUUGAUUCUGUGGGUGGUGGUGCAUGGCCGUUCUUAGUUGGUGGACUGAUCUGUCUGGUUAAUUCCGAUAACGAACGAGACCUCAGUUUAUUAAUUAAAUAAAAAAAUAUUAACAAUAUAAGGGUUGGAGAUUAUUAGUAAAUUAUUUAUAAUUUAUUAUGAUUUUCAAAACUUGUUUAUAUUUCAUUUUAUUUUCUUAAAAAGACACUUGGUGUUUAACCAAGGGAAGUUUGAGGCAAUAACAGGUCUGUGAUGCCCUUUAGAUGUUCUGGGCCGCACGCGCGCUACACUGAUAAAAUCAAUAAGUUUUAUUAAUAAUUAACCUUAAUAGAAAUAUUUGGGUAAACUUUGAAAAUUUUAUCGUGCUGGGGAUUGACAAUUGUAAUUAUUUGUCAUCAACGAGGAAUUCCUAGUAAACGUAAGUCAUCGGCUUACGUUGAUUACGUCCCUGCCCUUUGUACACACCGCCCGUC